UGCUUGUUUGUUUCUGUUCUGUCCAUUUCAAUGUGUUGAAAAUAUUGCUCCAUAUAGUCACAGCCUGGAUGCUAGACCACCUCAUAUUACAAUAUUCUCAGUGGUAAGAAAAAGAAGGAAGCACCCAGGCAGAAGAGGUCUUCGCCUUUUUUUGUUACAAGUAUCUUUCACAUAAAUCUAUGCUGAGUUCUCAUUACAUCCCAUGGACUAGAACUGGAUCAUAUAGCCACAUUAGAUUAGCAGGCGCUAACAAGGAACACUGAUUAACUUAGUCCAUCAUGAAUUAUCUUCCCAGCUUGUGUUUAGCUCCAAUAAAAAUGUAUAUAGGGAAGACGGCAGAAUAGAAGGACUGGAGCUCAACUUCUCUCCUAAAAACAACAAAAUUCACAACUAAAGGCUGAGCAAUCUCCACCCAAAUGGACCAGAAACCUUAAAAAAGAUACCCUACUCCAGAAGAAAAAGAGGAGGCCACAUCAAGAGGUAGGAGGGGUGAUUUCGUGAUAUAAACAACCCCAUACCUCCAGGGUGGGAAGCUCCAUAGACUGAAAACUAACUGGAUCACAGAGACUCAUCUACAGGAGUGAGAGUUCUGACCUCCACAUCAAACCUUCAUGUGCUGGGAUCUGGUACCAGGAAAAAGAGCCCCUGGAGCAUCUGGCAUUGAAGGCCAGUGGGGCUCGUGUGCAGGAGCUCCACAGGACUGGGGGAAAUGGAAACCCCAUUCCUAAAAUGCACACAUGAACUUUCAUAUGCAGGGGGUGCCAGGGCAGAGUGAGGUCUCCAUAGGAAUCUGGGUCAAACCUGACUGCAGUUCUUGGAGGCCAUCCUGGGAAAACUGGGGUGAAAGUGGCUUGUUGUAAGGAAGGGACAUUUAAGGCAAAGCUCUCGGGAAUUUUCAGCAGCUGCCUUUCUCUGGAGGUGGCCAUUUUGGCAAAAUCUGGCCCCACUCAUCAGUCAGUGCUGAGAAGCCCCAGGGCAAACAACAACCCAGGUGGGAUCACAGCCCUGCCCCUCAGUAAACAGGCUACCUGAAGAAACCUUAGGCACAUGGCUGCCUCUAAUUCCAUCCAGAGACUAAGCCCCACCCACCAGAGGGAUUAGAAUCAGCUCCACCUACCAGGGGCAGGCAUCAGCCCCUUCCAUCAGGAAGCCUACAGCUAGCCCGCCAUACCGACUUCAGCCACAAGGGGGGCAGACACCAGAAUAAGAGAGGCUACAACCCUAUUAUCUGUAAAAGGGUCACUACACCAAAAACCGAUAAAAAUGAAAAGACAGAGAACUAUAACUCAGAUGAGGGAGAAAGGAAAAACCCCAGAAAAUAAGCUAAGCCAUGAGGAGAUUCUUAGCCUCUAGGAAAAAGACUAGAUCGUUGAAGCUGAAGAUGAUGCAAGACAUUGGAAAUAAACUGGAGGCAAUGAUGGAUAACUUACAGGAAACACUGACCAAAGAGAUACAAGAUAUAAAACUUAAACCAGAAGAGAUGCAAAAUACAAUCACUGAAAUAAAAAACUCACUAGAAGCAGCUAACAGCGGAAUACAGGAGGCAGAAGAACGAAUAAGUGAGGUGGAGGACAGAUUAGUGGAAAUGACGGAUGCAGAACAGAAAAGAGAAAGAAGAUUGAAAACAAAUGAAGAGAGUCUCAGAGAACUCUGGGACUCACAACGUGAAACACACCAACAUCCAUAUUAGAGGGGUGCCAGAAGGAGGAGAGAGAGAGAAGGGGACAGAAAAAAUAUUCCAAGAGAUAAUAGUCAAAAACUUCCCUCACAUGGGAAAGGAACCACUCAUCCAAAUCCAGGAAGCACAAUGAGUACCAUAUAAAUUAAACCCAAGGAGGAAUACACUGAGACACAUAUUAAUCAAACUGACCAAAAUGAAAGACCAAGAGAAAAUCUUGAAAGCAGCUAGGGAAAAGAAACAAGUAACAUACCAGGGAACCCCAAUAAGGUUAUCGGCAGAUUUUUCAGCAGAAACUCUGCAGGCCGGAAAGAAGGGGCAUGGUAUACUUAACAUGAUGAAAGGAAAACACCUCCAACCAAGAUUACUCUACCCAGCAAGGCUCUCAUUCAGAUUUGAAGGGGCAAAUCAAAACCUUCACAGAGAAGCAAAAGCUGAGAGAAUUCAGCAACACUAAACCAGCCUUACAACAACUACUGAAGGAACUUCUCUAGGCACAAAAGAAAAGAAAGCAACAGGAAACAAAAAUUCCACAAAUGACAAGGCUCACCAGUAAAGGUAUAUAUACAGUAAAGAUAUGAAAUCAUCCAUGCACAAUUAUACCACCAAAGUCAGAAAUCAUGAGAAGAGGUGGGUACAAAUGCAGGACACUGGAGAUGAACUUGCAAUUAAGAGAACAACAACUUAAAACAAUCUCAUAUGCAUAUAGACUCUUAUAUCAAAGCAAAAAUCUACAACUGAUACACAAACAAGGAAUCUCUGCAGAAGAAAUAUAUCUCAUAGUAAAUAAGUGCGUAAUCCACCAUGAAGGGGGUUAUUUGACAUCAUUCUUGGAAUGCUGAAUUCUUCUUAGAACUGAUUCUGAUUUCCUCUCCAUCAAAGAAUUUAUGAUAAUUAUAAUUAAAUAAUGCAACUGUACAAUUAAAUAAUACAGUUCUACAAUUGUAUUAUUAAUAACCAUUUCUCUCCAUGGUACAAUGUAAGGUCUAUAAUGUCUUGUUUAUCACAUCACCUAGAAUGGUGUAAUGCCUAUAUUGAAGAAUCAAUAAGAUGUAACAAAUUGUGAGGACAUAUUUAUAUAGUUACACUGUUUUUUAACCAAUUUAUGCAUUUUAUAUUUUACUUAUUUUCAGAGGGUGUAUUAUUUUUGUUAUUCUUACCAGUUAAGUUAUUCUUUUUAUUAUGCUAUAUAAAAUAUUUAAUGGUAUAUAAGGCUUUCUUCUUUAUAAAUUUUAGUUGCAUAAUAUAUACAAUUUUAAUAUAAUGCUAAUUUUUAAAGAAAAAUUGAAAUGUAAUAGAUAAUACUAAAUAGUAAAGAUGAAAGCCAUACAAAAUGGGAUAAAGCAUAGAAUAAAUUUCCUAUUUGUCUCAGCAUAUUUUCCAUUCCACUUCUCCAGAGGGAGAUAUUUAAUCUGUUUCUUAAGAUCCAUGAUAUAAUAAUCUUGUGAAUGUAAUUGUGUUCAAAUAUAUGUAUUUUAUUAUUUAAAAAAAUAUUCUGUGAUAAUCUAUGUGGGAAAAGAAUGUGAAAGGGAAUGGAUAUAUGUACAUGUAUAACUGAAUCUCUGCUGUACAGCAGAAACUGUCACAACCUUGUAAAUAAACUAUACUUCAAUAAAUUUUUUUAAAAUGAAAAAAAAUGUAUAUAGGCAUUCUUCUGACAAUAAUGGAGGGAUGGCUGCUAGAUGUAAUGAACAGUAUCCACUUUGCUGCAAUUCCUACUGAGAUCUACCAAAGUGUUUUCUGAUGAAAUCCUGCACCAUGGUCUUCAUUAAUAAGAAUUCUUCUUCCUUUCCUUUAAACCACUUUAUUAAAGUAUGAGUUACAAGUAAAAUUCUAUAAUAUAUUUUUGUAAACAACUUGGAAGCAUAUAUCUAUGAAAUAAUAAGCACAAUCUGUA
rnacentral:lncRNA from 1 species